AGAACGAACGCUGGCGGCAUGCCUAAUACAUGCAAGUCGAACGAAGGCUUCGGCCUUAGUGGCGCACGGGUGCGUAACGCGUGGGAAUCUGCCCCUUGGUUCGGAAUAACAGUUGGAAACGACUGCUAAUACCGGAUGAUGACGAAAGUCCAAAGAUUUAUCGCCAAGGGAUGAGCCCGCGUAGGAUUAGCUAGUUGGUGAGGUAAAGGCUCACCAAGGCGACGAUCCUUAGCUGGUCUGAGAGGAUGAUCAGCCACACUGGACUGAGACACGGCCCAGACUCCUACGGGAG
rnacentral:rRNA from 1 species